CCUACGGGUGGCAGCAGUGGGGAAUAUUGGACAAUGGGGGGAACCCUGAUCCAGCCAUGCCGCGUGUGUGAAGAAGGCCCUCGGGUUGUAAAGCACUUUCAGUGAGGAAGAACGCCUGGUGGUUAAUACCCAUCAGGAAAGACAUCACUCACAGAAGAAGCACCGGCUAACUCCGUGCCAGCAGCCGCAGUAAUACGGAGGGUGCGAGCGUUAAUCGGAAUUACUGGGCGUAAAGCGCGCGUAGGUGGCUUGAUAAGCCGGUUGUGAAAGCCCCGGGCUCAACCUGGGAACGGCAUCCGGAACUGUCAAGCUAGAGUGCAGGAGAGGAAGGUAGAAUUCCCGGUGUAGCGGUGAAAUGCGUAGAGAUCGGGAGGAAUACCAGUGGCGAAGGCGGCCUUCUGGACUGACACUGACACUGAGGUGCGAAAGCGUGGGUAGCAAACAGGAUUAGAUACCCCUGUAGUC
rnacentral:rRNA from 1 species